rnacentral:rRNA from 1 species
CAGCAGCCGCGGGAAUACGUAGGUGGCAAGCGUUAUCCGGAAUUAUUGGGCGUAAAGCGCGCGUAGGCGGUUUUUUAAGUCUGAUGUGAAAGCCCACGGCUCAACCGUGGAGGGUCAUUGGAAACUGGAAAACUUGAGUGCAGAAGAGGAAAGUGGAAUUCCAUGUGUAGCGGUGAAAUGCGCAGAGAUAUGGAGGAACACCAGUGGCGAAGGCGACUUUCUGGUCUGUAACUGACGCUGAUGUGCGAAAGCGUGGGGAUCAAACAGGAUUAGAUACCCCUGUAGUCCCUGUCUCUUAUAC